rnacentral:rRNA from 1 species
AUUGAACGCUGGCGGCAUGCCUUACACAUGCAAGUCGAACGGUAACGGGUCCUUCGGGAUGCCGACGAGUGGCGAACGGGUGAGUAAUAUACCGGAACGUGCCCAGUAGUGGGGGAUAACUGCUCGAAAGAGCAGCUAAUACCGCAUACGACCUGAGGGUGAAAGGGGGGGAUCGCAAGACCUCUCGCUAUUGGCGCGGCCGAUAUCAGAUUAGCUAGUUGGUGGGGUAAAGGCCUACCAAGGCAACGAUCUGUAGUUGGUCUGAGAGGACGACCAGCCACACUGGGACUGAGACACGGCCCAGACUCCUACGGGAGGCAGCAGUGGGGAAUUUUGGACAAUGGGCGCAAGCCUGGUCCAGCAAUGCCGCGUGCAGGAAGAAGGCCUUCGGGUUGUAAACUGCUUUUGUCAGGGAAGAAAUCUUCUGGGCUAAUACCCCGGGAGGAUGACGGUACCUGAAGAAUAAGCACCGGCUAACUACGUGCCAGCCGCCGCCGUAA